rnacentral:lncRNA from 1 species
UGUGAAAGAUCUCUAUCAAGCCUCACAGAGAAUUUGAGGCAGCUGGCAGUUAUCAGCUGAAGCAGGUAGUCAGUAGAAGUGCAAAAGAUAAAUAGAUAAUUGAAAACCAAUCUGGAAACCUGGGAGAGAUAAUAAGCCUCUCUUCUAGAAGGGAGCCAACAACUCAGAUGUAGUAAGAGACAUUUCAACCUGGUUCUGCCUGCCCAUCAACAUAUGCACCUCAACAUAAGGACUUAAAACUCUGUUGAAAAUAUUUUCCUCCCGAAGUUCCUCACUUCAAAUGGAUGCAUUUUAGAGCUUCUCUUAUCUGAUGUCAUGAUCUUUUUCUACUGAAAUGGGAUUGCUUCAUCUCUACAACAUAACAAUGGCCAUGAACAAAGACUGGUUCAUAGGUGUUCUUUUCUGCUUCCAAGGAAAAGGAUGGGCAAAGGAGGAGCAUAAUUUGCAUUGCCUUUCUUCAGAAGGGAGUUUACAGCUCUAGUCUUGAGUUAAACAGCCAUUUAUGCUGAAGAACAUGUAGCCCAGAGCUCUGCCUGUCAUCUUU